CUGUCCGGGCAUCUUCGGCGAUCCUCGGCCCGGCUCCCAGUGCCUCGCCGCGGACCUGAGCGCGGCGACGGCGCGGGCCGCCCUCCCUUGGUGGCGCCGAGUGCGUGAGAGGCCGGCCUCCCGUUGCGCCGGCGAGGGACGCGGACGCCGACGACCGGAUAGCGGCGAGGGGCGCGCGGGCCGGGGAGAGGGUGAGACGGCCGCUUGUCGCAGUGGGGUCGGCCGGGAGGUCUCCCGCCGGUGCGGGGCCGCGGAGCCUCUCGGGGCCGGGGUCACUGACAUCUGCCUCUCACCCUACUGCUUUGUCCUCACAGCCUCCGGUCGGGACGUUGACGGCACUCACCCGGGGGGGGGGCGCGGAGAAACGCGUGCGUUGCGGCGGCAUCAGUGCCCCCGGCCCGAUUAGAAUUUAAAUCUGUUGUUUGGGGCACCGUGACGCUGAGGCUCUUGGAAGACUGGUGCACGGGGAUGGAUGUGAACCCUCGGAACGCACUGUUGGUUGCCGGCAUACCCCCGACCUGCCUCAUGGCAGAAAUCGAGGAGGCUCUGCGGGCUGGUUUGGCGCCCUUGAGCGAGUACAGACUGCUCGGGAGGAUGUUCCGGCGGGACGAGAACAGGAAUGUAACCCUAGUAGGAUUGACUGAGGAGACUACUCAUGCUGUGGCCCGUAAGGAGAUACCCGCAAAAGGGGGUGCCUGGAGAGUGAUCGUUAAGCCCCCAGACCUGGAUAAUGAACUUUUAAGCAGAUUAAGUGAAUUCUUAGAGGGAGAGGGCACAACGUUGGGGGAGUUGACCAGAGCUCUUGGAUAUGGAAAUGACCCUUUUGACCUAGGCCAGGACAUGAUCCCCGAAAUCCAGGCCCCUAUGUUGGCACAGGCAUUAGAGGAGGCUCUUCAGCCUGCCCUGCAGUACCUGAAAUACAAAAAGCUGAACGAGUUCUCAGGCAGUGACCCUCCAGAACCAGGAGAAGAAGAAUUUGAAAGUUAGCUGUUGCACCCUACUCAGAUGAUGAAGACAUGGCCGGUGUCAGAUGCAGAGAAAGAAGGCGAUUGCUAGAGAGCCUUAGAGGCGCAACAUUUGAUGUUAUUCAUGUCCUCAAGAUACACAAUCCUUUCGUUACAGUCGCUGAAUGCCUGCGGGCUCUUGAGCAGAUGAGAAGCUUCAGGAUCAGAAAGAUUCAGUGCCAGGAGAAGGGCACUUAGUCUGACUCCAGAGAGCUUUUCUUAAGGUGAUCUGACUUACGCAUCUGGGCCCAUGCUGUCUUCUUCCAGCGCUAGCUCAGGGUUCAUUGUGGAUUCUCUCCCCCACGGCUCCACCCCAGUUUAGGGUGCCAAUUGACAGAUGGCCUAGACUCAAACGAACCAGCAAGUCCCAUUGGCAUGAGGUGAGCAUGAGACGGGAUCAAAGCUGGAACAUGAAGUCCGUGGCCUCAGCUCCCUCUUUCAGGCUUUGUGGGACGCAGAGGCCCUGGGCCUCCCUGUUUGGAAUGAAGACCCUUGUCACUCUCCUGGUUUUCAGUCGGAGCCUCACCUGCGCCCCACACUGUGUCUGGUGUCCCUGAGUCAGAAGCAUCUGUGGUGCAAAUUUAACUCGUCCAGAGAAUCACCCCCCCAUCUCCUGCCAAGUAAGGUCAUGUCCACGGCAGAUGAGUCAGUAUGCAGUAUCACUGAAGGCCAACAACUCACCAGAGUUCAAACAGAGAGAGAUGGCAAGAGAAGUGUGGUGCUUCCUGGAAACUUAAGCUGCAGACUUCUCAAGAUCUCAAAAAUCAGGAAUUCGAAGAUUUGAAGAAAUCCAGUAUAGUGCAAUUACAUUGUAUGUGAAUUUGAAUGAUGAAAUCUGAAAUAAUGUAAAAAUAUGAAUAAAGCCUCAUCUUAUGCCCCAUGAUUGAAAUACAAAACCCCACCCAAUUAAAAAGGUAGUCAAGAAACCGUUAAUUUCAAAAUGGCGGGACUGGGGCUUGUUCAUGAAAUUGCCACAGGGUAGUGCCACUUUAGCAGAGACGCCGCAAUUCCUAUCCUGAGCGGGGCGCAUUGUUGCUUAGGGGUGCUGGGACUUCCGAGUUCAAGUGGUCUUGGAAAUACUGAGGCUGAAAAACACAUCCUUAUUGUCAUCGCUUUCACGGAAAGGUCAGCUGAGAUGAAGGGCUAUGAUGAAGGACAGUCACUGUGAUAGCUCUUCCUGUUUGUUUCUGUGCGAGCGAUUUGCAAAAUAGUAGAGCCGGGGCAGAGAGUCCAUGUUCGGUCUGUGACUCUUGAUCUUGGGGUUGUGAGUUUGAGCUCCACGUUGGGUGUAGAUAUUACUUAAAAAAAUUAAAAAAAAAAAUCAAACAGUGAUGUCAAUUAUACCUCAGUAAUAAAAAUAAAGACAAAAAUUUGUUUAAAGUCCAGUGGAAACACAGUACAAUGGUUGUAGAAUUUGGGCUCUGAGGAUCAAGCCUCCAACUUUAGGGUUAGUCUCAUGGGAAAAUUAUUCUUGACUUAUUGAGUUGCAAAUGAUACAAGUCUCUAGAAACCCAUCAUCCUCCGGGCGCCUGGGUGGCUCAGUCAGCUAAGCGUCCAACUCUUAGUUUUGGCUCAGGUCCUGAUUUCAGGGGCUCAGGUCCUGAUCUCAGGGUCCUGGGAUCGAGCCCUGCUUUGGGCUUGUCCCUCACCCUCCCUCCCCCUCUGCUCCACCCUUCCCCUCAUGCUGGUGCCCGUGGUCUCUCUCUCUCUCAAAUAAAUAAAACCAUUAAAAAAAAGAAAGAAAGAAAGAAAAGAAGCCCAUCAUUGUCAUUAAAUGUGAUGGAUCACAUUCUGAUUCCUAGAAGUAUAUCAGCGCUUCUGGAAAGGAAGCCCUGCUCUCCCAGUCUGUCCCAGAAAACCCAAUUCACUCCAGGAUACAGAAGAAACAAGCCAUUUUUUUAAAGUUUAUGUAUUUACUUAAGUAAUCUCUACACCAGCGAGGGGCUCAAACUCACGAUGGUGAGAUCAAGAGUCACAUGCUCUUCCAACUGAGCCAGCCAGGUGCCUCUAAACAAGGAGUGUUUAGUUCCAUUUCAUGGUGGGUCAUGUUUAUCCACCUUCUCUCAUGUAACCCUUAGAGUUCUACCUGGUUCAGUUAUCCACCUGUCCACCCACAGCUGAUCUCUUGUCAGUGUCUUUCCUUCCUGCAAUCGACAAGAAAGCUGAGGCUCAGAGAGGUUAAUUAAUUUGUUCAGACUCCACAGCAGGCAAUUUGUGGAACUGGGAUUUGAACCCAGGUCAACAAAGCCUGCUUUGUUCCUCUACGCCACGGUGCCAGUAACUUACGUGAGUGCUGUUAUCUCCGCCAUCGGAAAUUCAGUAGGAAUAAACGGGUGUCUGUCCGUGAUGAGGGUGGAGGGAAGGCAUUUCUCAAGACGAUAUCUUGCUCUUUCAUAAACUAGAACAUUCGAAGCGUCCUUGGUCAGGACGAUUUUAAAGAUUAUUUACGUAGAAGUCACACCUUCCUUCCAGACAUAAUGUCACCACCCGUGGUUAACAGAGUAAUGGCGUAUCUAUGAGCAAAACUUCUCCAUCAGUGAUUCAUUCAUAAGGUUUUAUUUUAGCUGAGUCAGCAACCUGGUAAUUUCAUGGAGGCAAGGUGAGGUUGAGAUAGGCAGGACAGAAAGAGUAGAGAAUUGUGACAUAGCAGGAAGGUCAGAAACUACCCAUGCUUCCCAAUUCUUUGGGACACUGUAAUGUUAUUUAUCCAUCCACUAACCAAACACAAAGGAGGAAGUAAAAGCAUGAGAUCCUGGAUAACUUACUCAUUGCCAGAUAACACCAGCCUCUGCCUUGUUAAUCAGCAAUACUCCGGCUGUGUUCUUGAUUAAACUAAAAGUUGAAAUAUAGUUGAAUCCCCUAAGUAUGAUUAUAGGGGACGUACACACGUUUUUGUUUUUCAAAAUGUUUUUACAUCUGUUAUCUUAAUUUAUCUCUGCACAACCUCCCUGCCUCGAAUAAAUUUUUAUUAUAGCACUUAUCGCCCGUAGUUAAUGUUUAGUGUGUAUGUCCGUCUCUCCUGCUGCUUUAUGACCUUCAGGGCAGAGACCCUGCCAUAUUUAUGCAUCUAUAAAGCCCUAGCACCUGGCAAGGCACUGGCCAGGGCUUGUUUUCUUGAGAAAGGUAGAAACCCACGGGAUAAAAUUUAAGCAAAAAGGGGGCUUUGUUUGAAGGAGCCCCAGGGCAGGGGUGCAGCACGUCUUGGAAGAACAGGAAUCAGUGUCUCUCACUGUUCCUCAUCUCUUGCCUCUCCCUCAUUCACACCUCCUCUGUGCAGAAGGGUCUUUCAGGGCUCCGUGGACCCCUCGCCUAAAAACCUGGCUGCCAGCAUCUCCGGAACUUGGGCAGGGAGCCCCAAGCCUCAUCACUCACUCCGUCCCACUCCCCAGACUCCAGGGGUUGAGACUCUGAUUAGCCCAGACGCGGUGAGGUACUCCCCUCUUGUCCAAUCAACUGUGGCCAGAGGGGUGUAGUCCAAUUGCGGGAACAAGUAACCACUUGGCAAGGGCAGGAAGGAAGGAGGCACAAUUGCCUGAAAAGAAGGGGAAGGGGCGGAGUAGUCCAAACAAUAGGAGGCCACGUCCCAUAUGUACAUGGUGCUCCAUAAAUGCUUAGUGACCUGGCUGGCUCUAAAUGCUGCCGGAUACGGGCCUUGUUCUAGUGGCCCAGGUACAGUGAGUUCUUUCUGGCCUCAGGGCUUCCCACAUACUCUUUUCCCCAUGGGUCUUGAGCACCUGCACCCCGUUGGCCUGGCUGAGUCCUGCUCUUCCUUCUACGGUUCUACGGUUCUAUGUCUGGAUUCUCCACCUCUUCAGAUGGCCUUUCCUGACCCCCUUCUAGAAUAUCCUGUUCAAUUUCUUCAAAACACUUACCACCUUGCAGUUACUUGUUCACUUCCGGCCUUCCCCCCAAAGAUUCUAAGUCCCAGCGUUCCCAGAGACCCCAAUAACUCCCCGCACAAUUUGCGGGGGUGGACAGCAGGGGAGGGAAGGCACCAUUAGGCAAAAUUUUGCCAGAUGGCAGGGAGUUUAUGAUCUUCCCCUCCUCCCAUCCAGGACAGACCCUCAGAGGGGUGAAGGGGAGACCUGACUCUGGAGAACCAAUUCUCUGGAAGUUGGUGUGGGAGACCGGAGCUGGGGCCAGCCAGUCUUAUUUCAACCAUGGGCUGUCCCUGGAGCAGAGUUCAGCGACUCUCCAACCCUAAUGUCCAGGGCACCACAGCACCAUCAAGGCCCGUUUGCGUCAUAGCUCUGGGAUGCACAGCCUUCCCAGCGGGCCAAACACCCUCCACAUCUGAGUCCACCGAGUGGUGAGCCUACCCAGCAGUCAGAGACCCCAGGUAGAAGCAGCCUGGAGGUUCCUCCUUCAUGACAGGCUUGCUGCCAGGUAGACCCUCUCCCUUCCCCUGGGGAAACACUAUCCUGAGCAAAUCACCUUCUAGAAAACAGUCAGGACUGACCCAGAGGCCCAGGUCAGUGGCUCUCUCCUAGGCCACCAGGUCCUGGGCCUCAGGCCUGCUUCUCUUGCCUGCCUAUCCAUCCCACUGUGAUACCACGCAUCUGUAGCUCCAUGAGUCCUGGGCCUAGCGGCGUUAGUUCUAUUCAAUCCCCAACAGCGUAGGAAGAGGAGUCACCGCACACGCGACACUUGCCGUACCAGGGAACUGGCCAAGCACUUUAUGAUUGGUGAUUCGUUCAUCCUUAUGGCAAACACCCUCUGAGAAACAAUGGAUUGACCUUGACUGGAACCUAGUUUGAAAAAAGUCAUAGUAAAAGACAUUUUGGAGAUCUUUAGGCAAAUCUGAAUGUGGACUGGGGAUUAGAUGACAAAAAGGAAUUAUUUUUUUACUUCUGUGAGUUAUGAAAAUAAUAUUGUGCUUACUGUAGGGGGAAAAUAUUUUUUUAGCAUAAUGAAUCACUUAGGGGUGAAAUUCAGUGAUGUCUGCGCUUUAAAUAAUUCAUAACAAUGACAACUAAAGGAAGCAAAUAUGGCAGAAAGUGAAACAUUGUUAAAGGUGGGUCAUGCUAUAUGGGUGUUCCUUAGACUACUCUCUCUACUUUUCUGUACGUUUGAACAUUUUAUAAUAAAGGGCAAAGCAUGUUUAAUAGGACAGAAGUAGUAUUAUAAUCCCGUUUGACAAAUGAGAACGCUGAGGCUUGGAGAGGUCGGAUGGCCUGCCCAAGGUCACAGAGCCUGAGCGGUGGACCCGGCAUGGAGCCUCACGGCGCAUGCUCGUGCCGUUCCACACUCGGCGCAUGCUCGUGCUCAGUAAGUGUUGCGCGAACAGCGGUGCGUUUAAGGGCUUUGGCCGUUCGUACCUCGCGUCCCUGGAACGCAUGCUGUCGUCUGCUCUAGUCUGGGCCCCAAUUCACACACCUAGGGCCUUUCGCGUGGUUUCUGGAUUGACUGGGCUUCUCCCACGCCUAGUCGCCUAAUGGGGCAGCCAGAGGGACCUUUCUGCAGUGUGAUCCUGACCCUGGCACUGCCCUGCCUAAAAACCUUCCCGCAUCUUCCACCUAAGGUCAUGUUGCUGCCGUUGUUGUUACUUGAUCUUUAAUAUAUAUAUAUUUUUUACUUCUCUGAAGGAGUCAUAACGCAAUUGAAAAUGCAAAAAAUGCUAAAGAACAUAUAGUAAGAAAUGAUUCUCCUUCCCAUCCAUUCAGCCACGCUCUGUGGGACCCCUGGUCCCUCUGCCUGGAGGCUGUCACUCUACCCGGUGUUCUGUGACUCUUUCCAGAGCUGGCCCACAUGUAUAGAAGCAAAAGGGAGGGGGGCAGUGGAGCAGGACCCUCUUCUCCCACUCCCACCCUACCUACCUCCACCCAGAGGAGCUCCGUUUUAUCUUUUUAUAGCUGGCUUCUUGUAUGAGAUUUUAUUUGGAGGGGCUCCUGGUGCUUAGAAAGGUUUGAAGCUGCUGACCACAUCAAGGAUGGCAUCCCCUGCCCUUGUCCUGCCGGCCCAUCCUUCUGGCUGCAUAGCGUCCCCUCCCAGUCAGCUCAAGUUCAGCCACUCCAAGCUACUGUUGCCAUUCGUGUCCUGGGCUUUCUUGCCUACAGCUUUGCCUGUGGCAUUGUUAGAAUGACUUGCUUUAUUUGCCUUUCUUUGUUUGUGAGUUCAUUCUUUAAGAUGUGUCUCAAAUAUCACCUUCUAUGCCAGCCUAUGGCCACAAAGUCCCCAGAAACUUUGCACCGAAGACAACAGCUGUGUAUUAUCUCCAC